rnacentral:tRNA from 1 species
GCCCCGGUAUCCCAAUCGGCCAGAGGAAGGCGUCUUAAAAACGCUUCAGUGUGGGUUCGAGUCCCACCCGGGGCA